GAUGAACGCUGGCGGCGUGCCUAAUACAUGCAAGUCGAGCGAACAGACGAGGAGCUUGCUCCUCUGACGUUAGCGGCGGACGGGUGAGUAACACGUGGAUAACCUACCUAUAAGACUGGGAUAACUUCGGGAAACCGGAGCUAAUACCGGAUAAUAUAUUGAACCGCAUGGUUCAAUAGUGAAAGACGGUUUUGCUGUCACUUAUAGAUGGAUCCGCGCCGCAUUAGCUAGUUGGUAAGGUAACGGCUUACCAAGGCAACGAUGCGUAGCCGACCUGAGAGGGUGAUCGGCCACACUGGAACUGAGACACGGUCCAGACUCCUACGGGAGGCAGCAGUAGGGAAUCUUCCGCAAUGGGCGAAAGCCUGACGGAGCAACGCCGCGUGAGUGAUGAAGGUCUUCGGAUCGUAAAACUCUGUUAUUGGGGAAGAACAAAUGUGUAAGUAACUAUGCACGUCUUGACGGUACCUAAUCAGAAAGCCACGGCUAACUAC
rnacentral:rRNA from 1 species